rnacentral:lncRNA from 1 species
GACUUAUCAUUAUUAAGCAUUUUCUCAACUAAAUCAUGGUCAUAUCACAAAAUUAUUUACACAAAAUAGGUGUAUUGCUAUACAUGCCAUACUUAAGUUUUACAAGCCAUUUACCAAAAAGAGUCCUUCGGAUAGUGUGAUCGAACCUUCGACCUGUCCCGAUUCCUAAGCCGGCUUGUUCAAAACUACAGUGAAUGAAAAGGAGGGAGUAAGCAUAAAUGCUUAGUAAGUCAUAUGCAAAUAACAAGUAACAUAACAAUACAAUUAUACCAAACAACCUUAGCAUGAUAUCACCAAAACAUAUAUCACAUUUUUAAACAUCAUUAAUCAUCUUAUCACCUUAUCGUUGUUGUAUCUAUUUUCAACCCGAAGGUUAAGUACAUACCUGUCCAAAGUGUCCAUUUCACAAUACUUACCAAUACGUCACCUGCAUCUUAAGUGUUCUUCCAUUUCACUAGAAAUUUUACCCGUUGAACACAUCGGAAUAUAACUCGGAUACAUGGAUAAUUUGCACAUAAGUGCCAUAUUUGUAGCCAAGCUACCAUGUAACUCGCCCAUAAGUGAACUCGGACUCAACUCAAUGAGCUUGGGCGUUGGCAUCCAUAAGUGAACUCGGACUCAACUCAACGAGUUCGGAUGCCUAGUUACAUCUCACGAACUCGGACUCAACUCAACGAGUUCAGACAUUUCACAUCCAUAAGUGAACUCGGACUCAACUCAACGAGUUCGGAUGUUCAACCAUCCUAGUGACAUGUCACUUGUAUCCUAAUCAAUUCCUAAGGUUCAAACGGGAUUUUCCUCGAACACUUCUCCUUGUCAUCUUCCGUAAAAUACCGAAACCAAUACCCGGUAGCACUUUAUAUUUAACAAAUAAUGCACUUAAUUUGCAUUUUAUUCGAAAAUAACCACAAAGCAUAUAUUUCAUGAUAAAAAUCAGCAUAUCAUAUAUUUAACAUCAAUAACUUAAAAAUAAAAAUUAUGCUACCUUAUUUACACAUGAACUUACCUCGGUACAAAAUUUUUAACAAUCGAGCCUAUUCCUCGUAAACUUUGUUUUUCCCUCGAUCACGACUUGAAUCUCGUUUCUCUUGAUUAUGAAGUUUGAAAGUUGAAGAAACCCCAG